rnacentral:rRNA from 1 species
AUUGAACGCUGGCGGCAGGCUUAACACAUGCAAGUCGAGCGGAGAUGAGGUGCUUGCACCUUAUCUUAGCGGCGGACGGGUGAGUAAUGCUUAGGAAUCUGCCUAUUAGUGGGGGACAACAUUCCGAAAGGAAUGCUAAUACCGCAUACGUCCUACGGGAGAAAGCAGGGGAUCUUCGGACCUUGCGCUAAUAGAUGAGCCUAAGUCGGAUUAGCUAGUUGGUGGGGUAAAGGCCUACCAAGGCGACGAUCUGUAGCGGGUCUGAGAGGAUGAUCCGCCACACUGGGACUGAGACACGGCCCAGACUCCUACGGGAGGCAGCAGUGGGGAAUAUUGGACAAUGGGGGGAACCCUGAUCCAACCAUGCCGCGUGUGUGAAGAAGGCCUUAUGGUUGUAAAGCUCUUUAGCGAGGGAAGAAGGUAGAUACGGUGAAUAAUCGUGUUUGCUGACGGUACCUCGAGAAUAAGCACCGGCUAAUUUCGUGCCAGCCGCCGCAGUAACAC